GGUGACUUAUAUGGUCUACAGUACCACAAAACACGGGUCACGUGGUCACUACAGGUCAGCCUGACCACGUGGGAAUUUGUUUAUGUCGCCAAAUGACGUCACAAGUUUCUCACAUGGAAAUUUUCAUACACGCACGCACUACUUCCACAAGCACACCAGAUGAAGUAAAUCCCCACUGCAAUUUAAUAGCCAGGCAGUCUGUUGGGAAAAUUGCAGGGAAUAAUGUCAGAAAGCGUCCAGCAGCUCAGGGGGACUAGUUUCUGAGACGCAUGAUAUUGUCUAGACGAUUUAUUAUGCGGUCGUCGGCGGAGGAAUACAUAGUUGAGGUUUGGGUGGUGUGUCUCCGGCGGUCGAGUGUAAAGCAGGACCAUGGCUGAUAGAGAAGGCGGAGAGGAUAGCUCGCAACAGGGCCAGACAAGUAAGUAACAACCUUGGCAUUGAAGAGGGAGUGGCCUGCAGCACCUGAGGGAUUGGUGAGCCUCGUGAAGAGUAUUGGAGGUGCAGGUGGUGGUGCUUUGCUCUCGUGUGUGUCGUAAAGGAAGCAACAUAAAUGACUGCAAGCCUCAAGUUGCGUUUGAUUCAUAUAAUGUUUUAGAGGAAAUAGAGAAAUAGAUCCAAGAUAAAGAAUUAGUGAAGCGUACAGUAUCUAGUCAGUGUUUUGAGAAGUAAAUACCUGUGCAUCUGUCACUUGCUACAGGGAGAAGGUAUGUAAGACUCGACCCUGUUAAUCUGUGCCUUGUUUUGCUACUUGCCCUUGAGUUGCCUUUGAUUAACUAGUGAAGGAGAUGAGAGCUGUGAUGCUGUUGCUGUGCUGCUCACUGGGUUUUCAUGAGUGAUGCUGGAGUGGUUAUGGUGAUGUGUGAGGCUGUUGUACAUAUCAAAGGUGUAAAUAUGAGCACUAACUAUCUUCUAUGAGGAGAAUGGGUAACUGAGUGUAUUUUCUAAGCUCCAUAUCUUGAAAUGUUUGGUUUAUACAACAUAGUUUAAAGUUCAAUAAUGUCCAUAUGUUGUCAGUUAAUGAGGAGUUCGUGGUGUGUUUUGUAACUCCAUCCCUUAUUAGGUUUGAUAGUACUAAAUAGAUGUUCCUUGGACUUGUUAUCCUGGCUUAUUUUGUAAUCCCCAUCCCCUUUAACUUUUAGGCUUAUGCAAGAUACAGUUGAAAGUGUAACACUAUCCCUUGUAGUUGUGUUGAUGAGGAGUUGGUGAUGUAUUCUGUAACUCCAUCCCUUUAACUGAGGCAUCUACAAAAUGAGUUUAAACAUUAAUAUAGAUCCCUUGGAGUACUGUCUUGGCAAGCUGUUAGAAGUGUAGGUAGUGGAGCUUAGAAAAUAUGAUUGACUCAUUCUCAAACUACCAGGAAAAAAGGAGAAGAAAAGCAUCUGUAGGAAUAUAUAGCAAGGAAAGUUUACACAAGUCCAAAUGUUAAGAAUGAAUGUUAGUUUUUGGGUACGAGUGAUGCAUGGAGAGUGUGAAUGUAGACAAGGUAUAAAAUAUUUACAUUAGGAUGUACAUUAUUAUCAGCAAUAUUUACCUACAUAUUCAUUAUUCAACAUGAAGGAAUAGUACCACUUUGCUGUGCCACUACUUUCCCUUGUCUUCUAAAAAAUGUACUCUUACUUAAUGUAUUGUGAAUGUCCUGUGAUCCUUCUUUUGUGGUGUGCGAGUCUUGAAGGUUGUUGAGGUGCAGCGCUGAGGAUUAUUGUGGCAGUUAGUGUAUAAAUCAGUGAAAUCCUCAUUUUGUCAUUCGGAUAAUGAAUAAUCUUGAAUAUUGACAACAGCUAAAUGACAGUGAUUCGGUAAUCUUUAUUUAGGUGAGGUUAAUACUGUAGUCCCAUUAUUUCCCAGACUUGACAAGUGAUUUAUAAAGACUUAACAUGGAUGUAUGUAUUCGAUAUUAAUGGAAGCUGUCUCCCUGUUUGUAUGUUGUAAAUUAAGGGAAUAAUCAUGCACUACCUGCCUGUUCCUUACGUCAUUCAGAAACACAACCGGGUGAAAGUAAAGAAAUGAUACAAAAGAUAUAUUGAAAUGACUCAAUAUGUUUUGUCGUAGCUAUAAUUGUCUGUUUCUUUGUGAUAUGUAUGAAGAAGCACAAGAGAUGGUGAAUGAUUCUGUAUGAGGAUGGUGACUGAUCUGCCAAUAUAGCCCUGUAAUGUGGAUUGGUGACAUGUGCACACACUUCAGGAAAUAAACAGUGGUGUGGGGUGAUGUGUGCACUGAGUGGUGAGGAGAGAGGGAGAGGGCAAGAGGUGUGUGUUGUAUUGGUGUGGUGGUGUUAAGAGAAGAGUGUGGUGGUUGUUGGCAGUGAGGGUGAGUCUUAUAUCGUGGGUGUUUUUGGGUGUGUUGUGUACUGGUGUUGGAGGGAUGAGGCAGAAGAGAGAGUGUUUGUGCUAAUAUUUCUGGUGUUGAUUGUCAUUGUUGCUGUUAUUACAAUUAUAUUACAUUUGUAACCACCUACUACUGCUUCUACUACUACUACUACUACUACUACUACUACUACUACUACUACUACUACUACUACUACUACUACUACUACUACUACAAGGAUCACCACAGUCCCCAAUUAUGACACGUGAUCCUUUUCCUGUUUUCCUUUUUACUUUACCAUUCUUCUACUUUUACUCUUUAUUGCUUGCCUUGCUUCAGAAAAGUAGAUUUGAGGCCUUGAGUUCAGGAGGAGAGUAGAUUGUGGGCCUGUAAGAGGAAUAUUUUGGGUGAUGGGGGCUGAGGAAGAGUGAACUGUUGUCUUGGAGUCUAGAGGAGAGUAAAGUGUGGCCUUGGGUUCUGGGGAAGAGGGUAAACAGUGGCCUUGAGGUCUGGGGAAGAGUAAACUGUUGUCUUGAAGUCUAGGGAAGAGUAGAUUGUGACCCUGGGGUCUGGGGGAGAGUAGAUUGUGGCCCUGGGGUCUGGGGAAGAGUAGAUUGUGGCCCUGGGGUCUGGGGGAGAGUAGAUUGUGGCCCUGGGGUCUGGGGGAGAGUAGAUUGUGGCCCUGGGGUCUGGGGGAGAGUAGAUUGUGGCCUUGGAUUCUGGGGAAUAGUAGAUAACCUUGUGUACAGGAAAAGUAGGUUGUAAAGUAGGUUGUGGCCUUGUGUACAGGAAAAGUAGGUUGUGGCCUUGUGUACAGGAAAAGUAGGUUGUGGCCUUGUGUACAGGAAGAGUAGGUUGUGGCCUUGUGUACAGGAAGAGUAGGUUGUGGCCUUGUGUACAGGAAGAGUAGGUUGUGGCCUUGUGUACAGGAAAAGUAGGUUGUGGCCUUGUGUACAGGAAAAGUAGGUUGUGGCCUUGUGUACAGGAAGAGUAGGUUGUGGCCUUGUGUACAGGAAGAGUAGGUUGUGGCCUUGUGUACAGGAAAAGUAGGUUGUGGCCUUGUGUACAGGAAAAGUAGGUUGUGGCCUUAGUGUCUGGGGAAAAGUAGAUUGCGGCCUUGUGUUCUGGAAAAAAAAAGUGGCUCCACGAAAUAGUAGAUUUUGAACUGAUAAGAAAAAAAGUGAUAAUGAGGUUGAAAAAUGGAAUACUUAAAUUAUUGUCAUCUUCUAGUAAAUUAAAAGUAAACUAAUCUUCAUAAAUUCAAGAAAAAAAAGUAAACUUGCAUUAUUUCCCGCUUAACCUUUCCAUAUCAACAUUCUCCGGCAUACACGAACGUUAAGGGUCACCUAUUGAUUGACUAAUUGGCAGGUAUUUGUGGCGCGGCAGGAAGGAGGUCACGCUGCGGUGCCUGCCUGGUGUACUGGCGGUGCUUGGGCAGUGGGCCGAGUCACACACCUCGGGCGGGUCUUGAUGUAAACAAGUUAGGUGCGUUGUGCAAGGAAGGGGGAGGAGGAGGAGGGAGGGAAGAAGAGAGAGAGAAGGAGAGGAAGAGGGAAGCGAAGCGGGCAGACACUCGUACACGUAAAAUGAAAAGGUAAACAAAAGAUUGCAUUACGGUACAUCUGUCAAUGAACUGCCGCCAUGAUUGUUUUGCCGUCUUGCCCUGUCUAGUUAAACAUAUUUGAGAAUUUGAUAGACUUUUAAGAGGACUUUCAUGGUAGCGAUAGUUUAACAAGGAUCUGCAGUUUUGAUAGGAAAAAUAUCCCACGAAAAGCAGUAGUUUAACAAGGAUAUAGUGUUAAUAGGAGAAAUAGCCUCGAUAAGCGAUAGUUUGACAAAGAUCUGCAAUGUGGAUGAGGAAAGUACCCACGGGAGGUGAUAGUUUAACAAGGACAGGAAAAAUAGCCACGAGAAGCGAUAGUUGAACAAGAAUCUGCAGUGUUGAUAGGAAAGAUACCUAACAAGAAGCGAUAGUUAAAUAAGAAUAAGAGGCGAUACUUACAUAAGGAUAUAGUGUUGAUAGGAGGAAUAGCCACAGGAAGAGAUAGUUUGGCAAAGGUCUGCAAUGUUCAUAGGAAGAAAUACCUAACAAGAAGCGACAGUUAACAAGGAUCUGCAGUGUUGAUAGGAAAUAUACCCAGCAAGAAGCGACAAUUUAACAAGGAUAUGCAGCGUUGAUAGGAAAAAUACCCUCUACAAAAUUCAUAAUCGUGUCCGUGAAAAUACUCCUUAUGAAAACUAGAAUUGAGAUCUUUGAAGGAUGUUUUCAUGAUUCAAGUGACAGUGUUAAUAAUCAUUCUACUUUGCUAAUAGAUAAUACCCACGAAAACUAAUGAUUUUAGCCCCUUCAGUAGUGGGACGCUUUUUUACCAUUAUUUUUAGGUACGAUUAGACCAUUUUAUUGACAUUAGGAAGGGUCAAUGGAGGUCAGAAGAUUAAUGGCCAGAGUCUUCACCAUUUCAAUCUGAAGCUGUAUUAAAUCGCCAAAUAGUAAACAAUGAAUAUGAAAACGCGUCAUGUACUGAAGAGGUUAACAAUUGCUUUUGAAAUCGUUAUGAGAACUUGAACGUUUGAAAAUAUGUAUGUAAACGUGUCGGAGCAUUUGUCCGACGUGAAUUAUUCUAGUUAUGGUUUAAACUAAAUAUUCGAGAACCUUAAUUAUGACAGCUGUAGUGUUUCAGAAUCUGAGCAUGUGUUUGUGUGCGCGUGCGGGCGAAGGGACAGCUGUGUGGCGUAAAGGACUUGUACAAUUAGAAUGAGAUAACAGCCUGCAUGAUGAAAAGGACAGCUGCGAAGGAAGAUAAGCAAGAAGGGAUUAUAAAGACUGUAUGUUGAGUCUGCGAAGGAAGGAAAGAAAGCAAGAAGGGAUUAAUAAGACCAUAUGAUAAAUCUGGGGAGGAAGAAAACAAGAGUGAUUAAAAUGAUCAUAUAAAGUAGAUUAUAUAAGUUAGCAUUGGGAGACUAGAAGGAUGAAGUAGACAUGCUAAGAUAGUAGAAAAUAAGACGAAUAACCAUCAAAGAAACCAUGAAAAGAAGAUAGGCGGAAGGAGGAAACGAUAACAGGUAGAAUUAGAAGACUAGAAAGAUGAAAUAGAAGCAAGAAAUCAGAAGGAACAGUGGUUGAAAAGACCAUGAAAAGAAGACAGCCUUUGGAAUAACAGUGCGUAGACAAUUAAAAAGACAGCUUGAAGUCUAUAUUACCGUACAGAAACGAUUGCCAAAACUUAUGACGAUGAAUUAAAGAAAAAAAAAAAAACUGAAAAAGAAAUGAUCGUAUACGGAAUUAGAAAACCGCUAGAAGGAUUAAAUAAAAAAAACAAAAACAAGACAACUGAGAAAGAAGAAAAGGAAGAAGAAUAGUGAAGAGUCCAUAGAAAUAAGAAAAAAAGAGAAAAAAAAAAAAAACUAGCAUAUUACGUAGAUUUAAACAGAUAUGGCGGUCCGGUGUUGUGAUUGGCUCAGGAUGGCGUAAGGAUGCCUCGUGCCACGCUCCCAUUGGUGGAGGGGUGAAUAGGAAAGUUUCGACCGGUGGGGCGUUGCAAAGGGACGCUGUGAUUGGCGGAUAUGCUCGGGUUUGCUUUGUGCUGAAUGGUUGAAUGUUUAAACGUUAUUUGGCGGUAUUUCACGUCACACAGGGGAGAGAAUGUAACUUGGCGUACCGUUAAUACCCGAAAUGUACCGUUUUAUUAGUAUCGGUGGUACGUACGGUGCGGUUUUAGUGAGAUUUGUAUUAGUUAUCGGUGUUAAUGCCUUUCAUCGGUAAAUCGGGGAAGUGUGUGUGAUUUGAGAGUAUCGCCGAUAAAUGUCAUGAGAAUAUUGUUAUCGGUAACGUGUGUUUUCAUUAUCGGUUCGUAUCGGUUCAGUUACAAAUAUCGGUUUGAAAUAAAAAAAAAUCGGUAUAUCGGGAAAGUGCCAGUCAUUUACGUGUGUCAGCGAUAAAUGUUUCACCUAUUAGUGUCGGGAAUGUGUCGGUUCAUUUCGGUUAAGUAAGAAAUAUCAACAGAAACAUGAAACAGAUCGGUAAAUCGGGAAAGUGUCAGUCAUCUACGUGUCAGCGAUAAAUAUUUCACGUAUUGGUUUUAGGAGAGUGUCUUAAUUCACUUAUUAGUAUCGGAAGUGUCGGUUCAUAUCGGUUUGGUAACAGAUAAUAAUAGAAACAUUAGACAAAUCGGUAAAUCGGAGAAAAAGUGUCAGUCAUUUACGUAUCGGCGAUAAAUGUAUCACUUCUUGGUAUCAGAGAAGGGUCUUAUUUCACGUAUUAGUAUCGAGAAAGUGUCGGUUCAUUUCGAUUGCGUAAAAAAUAUCAAUAGAAAGAGUAAAUAGAUCGGUAUAUCGGGAAAGUGUCAAUCAUUCACGUGUCGGCGAUAAAUAUUUCACGUAUUGGUAGCAGAAAAGUGUGUCAUUUCACGCAUUAGUAUUGAAAGUGUCGGAUCAUUUCGGUUGAGUAGCAGAUAUCAUUAGAAACACUAAACAAAGGGGGAAAGUUCCUCUCAUUUACGUGUAGGUGAUAAACAGCUCACGUAUCAUUACCGAAGAGUGUGUCGUUUCGCGUAUUAGUAGCAGAAAAGUGUCGGAUCAUUUUUUUUAGUUACAGAUAUUAGAAACAUUAAGCAAAUCGGUAAAUCGGGAAAGUGUCAAUGUUUCACGUCUUGACACCUGGAAAGUGUCUUAUUUUACGUCUUAAUACCUGGAAAGUGUCUUAUUUCAGGUAUUAGUGUCGGAAAAGUGUCUUAUUUCACUUAUUUGUAUCGGGAAAGUGUCUUAUUUCACGUUUUUUGUAUCAGAAAACGUAUCUUUAUUUUUAGCGUGAGUAACGAAUAUCGAAUAGAAAGAAAGAAGUUGUGAAGACAUUUAUCCUUCUCUGGCUUAAUCUCUCGAACCUGCAUGGGGACUGGCAAAUAAGUGGGCCUUUUUUUUUUAUAUAUUCAACUUUAUUUUUCUAAUUUCUACCUCGUUUUUGCUCCUGGCCCGUUUUUCUGUCUUACAUGAAAAGGAAACAUAGAAAUCGGUCAAUCGGAGGUAAAUCGGGGAAGAGUCAAUCAUUUGUGCGUGUCGGUGAAGCAUACGUCUAUAUAGGUACUGGUAGUGUCUUUGGACCCGUACUCAGAAACGCUUUGCUCUCACCACGACUAUUUUCAAACGCCACAGAGAUGAUUAGCCGAGUUUUGAAGAGUGUUUCUCCAGUUAAUAAUGUAGAAAUGGCGCUCUCCCUCUAGAACCGUAAAAACCACCUUUAAAAACUCGUGUAAAUUUAAAUAAAGGCUUUUGAAAUGGUGAAGGUGAAGCGUAGAGGUGUUUGAGAAUACGAGCCUAGAGUUUUCUCGUUGAGUAUAGACACCGGAUAGAAAAACUGCAAUCGGUAUAUCGGGAAGUAUCAGCUGUUUCUAAUACGAGCCUAGUUUUCACUUUGAAUAACAAAUACCGGAUAGAAACACUGCAGUCGGUAUAUCGGGGACGUUUCACCUGUUUCUAAUUGGGAUGUCAGUAUUGGCUAAGAAUAUCUCGUCAGCGUAACUGUAUCGGUAAAUUGUCUUGAAGUACCGGAUAGAAACAUUGCAAUCGGUAUAUCGGGGACGUUUCACCUGUUUCUAAUCGGGAUGUCAGUAUUGGCUAAGAAUAUCUCGUCAGCGUAACUGUAUCGGUAAAUUGUCUUAAAGUAUCGGCGUGUAUCGGUGUAGUGACGAGUAUUGGUGGAAGUAUUAUGUACCGGUGGGUCUUGUACUGGGGGUUACUGGGAAUGUGAAUACUUAACACGUUUAUUUAAUUGUUCUGUUUGUGUAUUUAUUUAUAUACUUAUCUAUUCAUUGUACCUCAAUCCUCUUGCCCCCCCACAAAAAAACAAACAAA